GUAAUGCUAGCUUUGGCAGUACAUACAAUAAAAUUGAAAUAUACAGAGAAGAUUAACAUCCUGUGCAAGGAUGACAUGAAAACUCAUGAAGCCCUCUAUUUUUUU